UGGGCAACCUGCCCUCAGCUCUGGGAUAACUCCAAGAAAUUGGGGCUAAUACUGGAUAUGACCGCUGACCGCAUGGUCUGGUGGUGGAAAGAUUUAUCGGCUGGGGAUGGGCCCGCGGCCUAUCAGCUAGUUGGUGGGGUGAUGGCCUACCAAGGCGACGACGGGUAGCCGGCCUGAGAGGGCGACCGGCCACACUGGGACUGAGACACGGCCCAGACUCCGUACGGGA
rnacentral:rRNA from 1 species